ACGGGUGAGAAACGCGUAGGAAUCUGCCUUACAGAGAGGGACAACUAGAGGAAACUCUAGCUAAUACCGCAUAAUGUCUACGGACCGAAGGCUAGGUAGCAAUAUCUGGCGCUGUAAGAGGAGCCUGCGUCCGAUUAGCUAGUUGGUGGGGUAAAGGCCUACCAAGGCGAUGAUCGGUAGCUGGUCUGAGAGGAUGAUCAGCCACACUGGGACUGAGACACGGCCCAGACUCCUACGGGAGGCAGCAGUGGGGAAUAUUGGACAAUGGGGGCAACCCUGAUCCAGCAAUACCGCGUGUGUGAAGAAGGCCUUCGGGUUGUAAAGCACUUUAGGUUGGGAAGAAGGUAUGUAGUUUAAAAGAUGACAUAUUUGACGGUACCAACAGAAUAAGCACCGGCUAACUCUGUGCCAGCAGCCGCGGUAAUACAGAGGGUGCAAGCGUUAAUCGGAGUUACUGGGCGUAAAGGGCGCGUAGGCGGUUAUUUAAGUGAGAUGUGAAAUCCCUGGGCUUAACCUAUGAACUGCAUCUUAUACUGGAUAGCUAGAGUAUUGUAGAGGGUAGUGGAAUUUCCGGUGUA
rnacentral:rRNA from 1 species